GAUGAACGCUGGCGGCGUGCUUAACACAUGCAAGUCGAGCGAGUGAGUUCUUCGGAACGAUCUAGCGGCGGACGGGUGAGUAACACGUGGGCAACCUGCCUCAUAGAGGGGAAUAGCCUCCCGAGAGGGAGAUUAAUACCGCAUAAAAUUAUCGAGUGGCAUUACAUGAUAAUCAAAGGAGUAAUCCGCUAUGAGAUGGGCCCGCGGCGCAUUAGCUAGUUGGUGAGGUAACGGCUCACCAAGGCGACGAUGCGUAGCCGACCUGAGAGGGUGAUCGGCCACAUUGGGACUGAGACACGGCCCAGACUCCUACGGGAGGCAGCAGUGGGGAAUAUUGCACAAUGGGGGAAACCCUGAUGCAGCAACGCCGCGUGAGUGAUGAAGGCCUUCGGAUUGUAAAGCUCUGUCUUUGGGGACGAUAAUGACGGUACCCAAGGAGGAAGCCACGGCUAACUACGUGCCAGCCGCCGCCGUAA
rnacentral:rRNA from 1 species